GGUUUAAUUCGUUGCUACAACGAAGAACCUUACUGGGUUUGACAUAUAAGUUGUAGGGAACUGAAAAGGGACCGACCCUUCGGGGAGCUUAUACAGGUGUUGCAUGGCUGUCGUCAGCUCGUGUCGUGAGAUGUUCGGUUAAGUCCGCUAACGAGCGCAACCCUCGCCGUAUGUUACAAGUGUCAUACGGGACUGCCGGUAAAAAGCCGGAGGAAGGUGAGGAUGAUGUCAAGUCAGCAUGACCUUUAUAUCCAGGGCUACACACACGCUACAAUGGUCUGUACAAUUGGUUGCCAAGCCGCGAGGCGGAGCCAAUCCGUAAAGCAGGCCUCAGUUCAGAUUGCAGUCUGCAACUCGACUGCAUGAAGCCGGAGUUGCUAGUAACCGCAGGUCAGCAAUACUGCGGUGAAUACGUUCCCGGGUCUU
rnacentral:rRNA from 1 species